CUAGAGAAAGUGUGGAGGAGGAUCAUGAGCUGGAAAGUGCUGGAAGAUGAGAGGUCUAGGGCCCCAAGUACAAGGAAAGAAAGAGACAAAAGUAAUAAAACCACAAAUAGGACGACCGAGCUGGAGCUCAGCCAUCUAACAGAUGUUCCCAUGCCAGCAUCAACCUGGCUUCUCUCACAGCCAGAUCGAAAUCAGUCUUUACUUUCCACAUGGACAGGAAGGUUUUGCAGAGUGCCUCCAGAAAUAAAAGUGUUACAAAAGAAUCACUUCAGAAAACCUACACUUAGAGAGUCCAUUUGAAAAUUGCCCUAUUUGAAAUGAAGUGGAGAUCAGUAAUAACAAGGACUUCCCCAUAUAACCCAAGGUCCUACUGGGUUAGUGUGAUCUUCUGCGGAAGGCUGCAGCUGCUGUCAGGAGGCCCUCUGUCUACACUCCUCUCUGGAGAAGUGUAAGUGUUUUGUCAGGUAAAUACUUCGUCACUCUCCAGCGUAGCAGUGAGAAUCAUCCCUCCUAUCUCUAGCAUCAGAGUCCCUCCUAUUGUUUCUAACCACCCACCCCCCGUAUCCUUGUAAAUAAUCUCUUUAUUAAAUUGUCUGCAAAUUACUUCAUUUUAAUGUGCUGUCCAUUUCCUUUUGGGACCCUGGCUGAUAUUGAUACUGAUGUUGGGUAAUUACUGAUUAUUGAUACUGAUAGUUGACACUGAUACCGAUAAUAAUUAUUAUUAAUAGCUAAUAUCCAUAAUUUGAUACUGAUUAUCAGAAAAGGAUACUGACACUCUAGGAUAUUAGCAGGAUCAGUAAAUACUGACACUGAUACUGAUAUUAAUACUGGCUGCUACUGCUAGGUAAUUACUAGGUCUGUCUAUCAAUCUAUCCAUCUAUCUAGGAUGUUCUCACUCUUGUAAAUAUCUCUAUAAAGCCUUGUCAAACAGAAAAAGGAGACAAUGUGAAAGGGUCUUGUGUACAUUUAGUCUCUAUUCAUCUAUUACAAGUUUCCUUUCUAAACCAAAUAGUUCUAUAUUGUUUUGGAGACUAUCUAACCCUCAUUAAUUAGCUGUUUUAUUUCUAUUUCUUUAUUGCUCAUAUAUAACAAUAGGAAAACUUGGUUAGUCAGUUAAUUAACAAAUAUUUAGUAAUGUAUAUUAUUAUAUGACUUGAGACAUGAUAAACAUGUUCUAAAAGUGUGGAACACAACAUUUGAUAAGAAAGGCAGAAUCUCCAUCUUCAAAGAGAUUGCAUUAUAGUGGAAAGAGCCAGACAAUAUAUAAAUAUAUAAACCAAGAAAUAAGAUCAUUAAGGUACUGAUAAGUGUUAUGAAGAAGAUGAAACGGGGUGAUUUUGACAGACAUUGACUGUAACAGGACCAGUUGUUUUAGAGAGCAUCAGAGCAGCUCUUCAUGAGGAGGAGCAUCAGAGAAGCUCUUCAUGAGGAGGAGCCUCAUGAAGGUGAAACCUAAAUGAUGAGAAGCCAGCUAUGUAAGAGGAGCAUUUGACACAGAAGGAACCAUAAGUACAAAUGUAAUGAGAUGAGAAAUUUCUUUGGUAUGUUGAAGACAUCAGGACAGGUGAGUAGCAUGCACCUGUGUCCCAGCUACACCAGAGGCUGAGGCAGGAGGAUUGUGUGAGCCCAGGAGCUUGAGGAUGCAGUGAGUUAUGACCAUAGCACUGCACUCCAUCCUUUUGUGAUGUCUUUUUUUUUUUAAGAAACGUCACUGUGUUCCGGGUGACAGAGCAAGAUGACAUUUCUGAAAAAAAAAUGGGGGGACAUCACAAAAGACCAUGGAUAAAACUAAGUAAACCAGAGAAACAAGAAGGAAGAGAGAGAGAUGAAUUGGGUGCAUUGGCAAAGCCAGAUAAUGUUAGAAUGACCAGGCCAUGGGAAGAGUCAGGUUCAAAACAUACUUAGAAGCCACUGGAGACUUUUAAAUGGGCAUAGGAGGAUCUGAUUUGUAGUUUAGAAUGAUUUCUCUGGCUGCUGCGUGUAGAACAGAUCCUAUGUAAGGGAGCAAAUGUGGAGGCAGAAAAGCUACUGCAGAGGUGAUAACAUUAGCUAAAAGAUCACAGUAUCUGGGGAAAGGGUGGUUGCGGUAGAGAGAGUAAAAAGUAGUUGGUUUCAGAAUACAUUUUAAUGGAAAUGGAAUAGCAGACUGAUGAUUGGAUAAUGGGAAUUGAGGGAAAUCAAGGAAUCCAGAAUGACUUGUAAAUUUUUGUUCUAAGAAAUUGAGUGGAUAAUGAUGGCAUUUACUUAAAUAGCAAAUACUUGUGGAGGUAAAUUCUGGAUAUGUGGGGCAACCAAGGGUUUUGUUGAUGCCAUGUAAACUUUGGCAUGCCAAUUAGAUACGAAGAGAUACUGAGUGGAAAGCUGGAUACUCAGGGGACCACAGUCUUCUGUUUCCUGGAUUUCAGGUCCCUUUUAAACUGAAGCAUAGUGAGAACAAGUGUAAAGCACAACACAGACGGAAGAUUGCACCUUAGCUCACUGCCCCGUGCACCCCGGUUACACCGUCUAAGAAAACACUCUGGAUUCAAUCCUUGGAAAAGUUUCCAGGAAGAUUUGUUUACUGAUCUUUCUUAAGGGAUUUGAUUUCCUGGAUUGGCAGGUGUCAUGUUGCUGGAGGAAGACAGUGGCUUAAAAGUAUUAUUGAAUAAAACACACAUUUUGUCUCCAUGAGGUCAUACAGCUGCUUGAGGUUGCUCGGAGAGUAAGAAGCAGAAUGAGAACUAGAACAGAAGCUCACUUUGGCCUGAAGGCUCAUGUGCUGAGCAUCUUCCCUUGUCUGUCUCCACCCCUAGCCUGGUGCCCAGCAUGUAGAAGACCUUCAUCCUAGAUGCAAUGGGAUUAAACUUGGAGAAAAUGGGAUUAAACUUGGACAAACACUACCUAUUUGGACUUGUGAUGAUGGCUUUCAAACUUCUUAAAGCAAUGAAGUAUUUUUUCCAGAAGAAACCUUACACAAGAAGCCCAGCACACUGAGUCAAGCAUAUGUAGGUGGAAGAUAUCUGGUUGAGACCAAGUAGAGAUAAACCUGUAGAUUCAACUGUGCCACCACAGUGAAUUCUAAGAAUCCACUGACUGUGAUCUGUAAGCUCCUACUCCACAGGAGGUCAGGGCACACAGCUUGAAACCGGAAGGCAGAAGAGUGACAGGGAAGGGUCAUGGACUCUGAAAUUAGAGCUAUCUGUGUUUUAAUACUAGUUCCAAUAGGCACAUGGUCUUGGAUAAAUGGUUUAAAUUAUCUGAGUCUCAAUUUCUUUCUCUGCAAAAAGGGAUGAUUAGUACAUAUGUAAUAGGGUUUUUAUAGAAAAUUGUAUAACUUGUUAAACACACAUGUACUAAGUGCUUGGUGCCCAGUAUGCACUGAAUAAAUGCUAGCUCCUUGCCUUUCAUCUCUAUGACCCUUCCCAAAUCUCUCAGCCCCAUAUUGCUUCAUGUAGUGUGUGUAUAUUUGGGAAAAUUUGUGUGCAUAUUUACAGAUGGGAUCCUACUCUUCUAUUGACAGACUGUCUUUUCAGAUGUGCCUUACUUUCAUUGCAUUGGUUUUUCAACUGAAAGUGAACAUAAAGGUUUUAAGCAUGCCUAGGUCUUAUCUUUUUGGUCAAAUAUCUAACACCCUCAAUAACAGUUGUAAAUCAUUCUUUUGUAAUUUGAUCAUUCAUUUUUAUAAAGUAAAACACAACUGCCCACUGUAAAAAUAGACUUCAUUUGCUCUUUUCUUCCAGUGCAGCAAAUGACAGACACUUUAAGAACACACAUUUAACUUCAGCAAACAAAUCAUGUAUAUUUUAGACAUAACUGUCAAGUAUAGAAAUGAUACCAUCCAACUUACCAAACUAUCACAUAAGAAUGCCCAAUAGCAGACAUUAGGAUGGGGCAAAACUGAAAGAAGGAUUGACUUCAUCAAACCCUUGAUGACAUACAAAAUGGAAACCAUUCAAGUUCAACUGAAGAAAACGAUAUCCCACAAGAUCUAGGGGUAAAAAGCAGACAAAGUUUAGGAAUGAAUUUAAACUACUGACUUACGUGUUGUCAGGAGUCUAUUUCUAUUCCUCAAUUUUACUCCUUUUUGUACAACUGUGUGCAUUCUCUCUCUGACUCUCUCUUCCUCCCUCCCAACACCCCCCACCCUCUUCUUGUUGCUGUUUCUCUCUAUUUCUUCAGAUCAAAGGGUUGAUCUCUUCCAAAUGUACAUAUUACAGAUCCACACUCUUAGAAAAACAACAGAAUCUCUCUAGUGCUUAAUUUAAUUUGUCCAUCUAAAAGAUAUUACUUGGCCCAAUUUGACCAAGCACCAUCUACUGGACCAAAUAAUGGUGGCCAGAGAAGCAUGGUCACAAUGGGGAAUGGGAAUAAGAUGGGGAUCAUAUGGGGACUAAGAAUGGGCAAGAACAUCUCCCAGAGUGGUAAGAGAAACAAUCUAAUGGGCAUAUAUUCCCAGUGUCCUCAAAUACUCCUCUACCCUAAAUUGCUUGCUCUGCUCUUGGGCCUUUGGAUGUGCUGACCUGAGUAGUGGUAACAAGUUCAGAAUUGUAGGGAAAGGGCUAUGAGUUUAUAUUUUAAGGGCAGAGAGUGGCAUUUAUGCAGUGGAAACACAUGGAAGAUGAGUAGGAUUGUGAAGGAUAAACUUGGGAAAAGAACAAUGACCUGAAGAGUACUAAUAAAUGCAGGGAUGGGUGACCAGAAAGAAAGGAUAGAUAGGAGGAAAAUCUUAGAGUAAAACUGGCAAAAGUUCACGGCCAGUUUAGUUAAUGGAAUCAAGGACAGUGAAAACGCAAUGAUAACUUCAGUGUUCUGGUUCUGAUGACCAAAGAAGGUCAUCAUUGUGAUGGAUAUUUUCUCUUAUUUCAUAACCUCUGCUCUAUGCUCUGUGUGAUUCCUCUCCUUCCAUUCAACUUGCCUUGCAUUUUCCGGAGUCUACUCCUUGGCUAAAUAGGGUCCUUCUUUCUCAGUAGCCCUUACUACCGAAUUAAAUCAUGGUGCCAGGGCUCAUUCUGCUUUGUUUCUGGAAACCUGCCAAGCAUGCUCCUGCCUUGGGGGCUUGCACUGAUUCGUUGCUCCAUAUUGAAAUGUUAUUUGCAUGGUCACCUGUGGCCCUGAUAUGGUUUGGCUGUGUCCCCACCCAGAUCUCGAAUUGUAGCUCUCAUAAUUCCCACGUCAUGGGAGGGACCCAGUGGAAAGUAACUGAUUCAUGAGAGCAGGUGUUUCCCCCAUACUGUUCUCAUGAUAGUGGUAUAAGUCUCACAAGAUCUGAUGGUUUUUAUAAAGGGGAGUUUCCCUGCACAUGCUCUCUCUCUCGCCUGUUGCCAUGUAAGAUGUGCCUUUUCUCCUCCUUUGCCGCCCACCGUGAUUGUGAAGCCUCCCCAGCCACGUGGAACUGUGAGUCCAUUAAACCUCUUUCCUUUGUAAAUUACCUGGUCUUGGGUAUGUCUUUAUCAGCAGCAUGAGAACAGACUAAUACAGGCUCCUAUCCACACUUCCUCAGGACUCUCUCAGAGACCCCUUGCCUUACCAGCCUAUGUUAUUCCCAGUAGCCUUCUAUCCCUGUAUCUGGCUUUAGCUUAUUCAUGACCUGAUAUUUUACCAUCAGGAAAUAAAUAUAAAUAUCAACAAUGAAAGUAUAAAUGAAUGAUAUCUCUUUUCUUGACCAUCCCUACACAACAGAAUCCAAGUUUCAUGACAGCAGGGAUAUGUGUGGCUUACUGCAGUACUUUUACCUCCUAGAAGUCUCCUAGGCCAAUGGUAGAUGCUCGAUUAAUAUUUGUAGGAUGAAUAAGUGAAAAAAGUUUUGACUAGGGUCAGUAGUGUUAAUCUUGGUUCAAAAUAAAACAUGAGGUAAAAAUAAACGAGUAAGAAAAGAAACAAUUUAACAGACGAUGGCUUUUCCCACUUUUAUGUGAUGUUGCCUAGGCUUUGCCAUUUUAUUGAAUGGACAAACUUCUUUAUGACAUAACUUCCCUCUCACUCUCUCCUCCCAAUAGCAUAAAAUAAUGUAAAAGUCAGGAGAUCAAAAUCUAGCAGACCCAAUUUCAGUUCAAUAUAAUAUUGUAACAUUAACCAUAAAAACCAUAGAAAAAAACCUAGACAAUACCAUUCAGGACAUAGGCAUGGGCAAAGACUUCAUGACUAAAACACCAAAAGCAAUUGCAACAACAGCCAAAAAGUGACAAAUGGGAUCUAAUUAACCUAGAGUUUCUGCACAGCAAAAUAAACUAUCAUCAGAGUAAACAGACAACCUACAGAAUUAGAGAAAAUGUUUUCAAUCUAUCCACCUGACAAAGGGCUAAUAUCCAGAACCUAAAAGGAACUUAAACAAAUUUACAAGAAAAAAACAACCCCAUCAAAAAGUGCGUGAAGGGUAUGAACAGACACUUUUCAAAAGAAGACAUUUAUGUGGCCAACAAACAUAUGAAAAAAAGCUCAUCAUCACUUGUCAUUAGAGAAAUGCAAAUCAAAACCACAACGAGAUACCGUCUCAUGACAGUUAGAAUGGCGAUCAUUGAAAAGUCAGAAAACAACAGAUGCUGGAGAGGGUGUAGAGAAAUAGGAAUGCUUUUACACUGUUGGUGGGAGUGUAAAUUAGUUCAACCAUUGUGGAAGAUAGUGUGGUGAUUCCUCAGGGAUCUAGAACUAGAAAUAUCAUUUGAUCCAGCAAUCCCAUUACUGGGUAUAUACCAAAAGGAUAAUAAAUCAUUCUACUAUAAAGACACAUGUACACGUAUGUUUAUUGCAGCACUAUUCACAAUAGCAAAGACUUGGAAUACUAUGCAGCCAUAAAAAAUGAUGAGUUCAUGUCCUUUGCAGGGACAUGAAUGAAGCUGGAAACCAUCAUUCUCAGCAAACUAACACAGAAACAGAAAACCAAACACCACGUGUUCUCACUCAUAAGUAGGAGUUGAAGAAUGAGAACAUGUGGACACAGGGAGGGGAACAUCACACACUGGGUCCUGUUGAGCGCUGGGGGACAAGGGGAGGAGUAGCAUUAGGAGAAAUACCUAAAGUAAAUGAUGGGUUGAUGGGUGUAGCAAACCACCAUGGCACAUGUAUACCUAUGUAACAAACCUGCACGUUCUGCACAUGUAUCCCAGAACUUAAAGUAUAAUAAAUUUAAAAAAAGAAAAAAAAUUGUUGUCUUCUCUGUGCCCGUUUUCUUUUAUUUUAAAAUGGCCUGAAAUAAUUUAAUAUGUGUUAUGGAUUAAAUCGUGUCCCUCAAAAAGAUGUUGAAAUCCUAAGCCCCUUAUCUGUGAGUGUG
rnacentral:lncRNA from 1 species